ACACAUGCAAGUCGAGGGGCAGCAUGGGGGUUGCUCGCAACCCCUGAUGGCGACCGGCGCACGGGUGAGUAACGCGUAUCCGACCUUCCCGCGGCAGGGGCAUAACCCGGUGAAAGCCGGACUAAUUCCCCGUGGUCCCCACACAGGCCAUCCUUCGUGGGGUAUAGGACUCGUCCGGCCGCGGACGGGGAUGCGUCCGAUUAGCUUGUUGGCGGGGUAACGGCCCACCAAGGCACCGAUCGGUAGGGGUUCUGAGAGGAAGGCCCCCCACAUUGGGACUGAGACACGGCCCAAACUCCUACGGGAGGCAGCAGUGAGGAAUAUUGGUCAAUGGGCGCGAGCCUGAACCAGCCAAGUAGCGUGGAGGACGACGGCCCUACGGGUUGUAAACUCCUUUUGCGCGGGGAUAAAGUGCGCGACGUGCUCGCGCAUUGCAGGUACCGCGCGAACAAGGACCGGUCAAUUCCGUGCCAGCAGCCGCGGUAAUACGGAAGGUCCGGGUGUUAUCCGGAUUUAUUGGGUUUAAAGGGAGCGCAGACUGCCUGUCAAGCGUGCAGUGAAACGCCGCGGCCCAACCGCGGCCCUGCUGCGCGAACUGGCGGGCUUGAGUGGGCUGGAGGCACGCGGAAUUCGUGGUGUAGCGGUGAAAUGCUCAGAUAUCACGAGGAACCCCGAUUGCGAAGGCAGCGUGCCGCGUCCCGACUGACGUUGAGGCUCGAAGGUGCGGGUAUCGAAC
rnacentral:rRNA from 1 species